GACAGAGGCCUCGAGCGUUAGGCGGAAUCACUGGGCUUAAAGCGUGUGUAGGCGGGCCCGUAAGUGUCUUGUGAAAUCCCACGGCUCAACCGUGGAACUGCUGGGCAUACUGCGGGUCUUGGGCCAACUAGGGGCAGCCGGAACAAGCGGUGGAGCGGUGAAAUGCGUAGAUAUCGCUUGGAACGCCGAAGGUGAAAACAGGGCUGACUGGGGUUGCGCCGG
rnacentral:rRNA from 1 species